rnacentral:rRNA from 1 species
CCGGGAGCUAAUACCGGAUAAUAUUUCGAACCGCAUGGUUCGAUAGUGAAAGAUGGUUUUGCUAUCACUUAUAGAUGGACCCGCGCCGUAUUAGCUAGUUGGUAAGGUAACGGCUUACCAAGGCAACGAUACGUAGCCGACCUGAGAGGGUGAUCGGCCACACUGGAACUGAGACACGGUCCAGACUCCUACGGGAGGCAGCAGUAGGGAAUCUUCCGCAAUGGGCGAAAGCCUGACGGAGCAACGCCGCGUGAGUGAUGAAGGUCUUCGGAUCGUAAAACUCUGUUAUUAGGGAAGAACAUACGUGUAAGUAACUAUGCACGUCUUGACGGUACCUAAUCAGAAAGCCACGGCUAACUACGUGCCAGCAGCCGCGGUAAUACGUAGGUGGCAAGCGUUAUCCGGAAUUAUUGGGCGUAAAGCGCGCGUAGGCGGUUUUUUAAGUCUGAUGUGAAAGCCCACGGCUCAACCGUGGAGGGUCAUUGGAAACUGGAAAACUUGAGUGCAGAAGAGGAAAGUGGAAUUCCAUGUGUAGCGGUGAAAUGCGCAGAGAUAUGGAGGAACACCAGUGGCGAAGGCGACUUUCUGGUCUGUAACUGACGCUGAUGUGCGAAAGCGUGGGGAUCAAACAGGAUUAGAUACCCUGGUAGUCCACGCCGUAA